AAAGUCCUUUAAACACA
rnacentral:tRNA from 2 species